CCUACGGGAGGCAGCAGUAGGGAAUAUUGGGCAAUGGGGGAAACCCUGACCCAGCAACGCCGCGUGAAGGAAGAAGGCCUUCGGGUUGUAAACUUCUUUUAGCAGGGACGAAGAACGUGGCGGUACCUGCAGAAAAAGCAACGGCUAACUACGUGCCAGCAGCCGCGGUAAU
rnacentral:rRNA from 1 species